rnacentral:rRNA from 2 species
UCGCGGAUCAGCAUGCCGCGGUGAAUACGUUCCCGGGCCUUGUACACACCGCCCGUCACACCAUGAGAGUUUGUAACACCCAAAGUCGGUGGGGUAACCUUUUAGGAACCAGCCGCCUAAGGUGGGACAGAUGAUUAGGGUGAAGUCGUAACAAGGUAGCCGUAGGAGAACCUGCGGCUGGAUCACCUCCUUUCUAAGGAA